GACGAACGCUGGCGGCGUGCCUAAUACAUGCAAGUCGAACGCAGUGGGGACGGGUGAGUAACACGUGGGUAACCUCCCAUCAGAGGGGAUAACACUUGGAAACAGGUGCUAAACCGAUACUGAUUGAUGGACCCGCGGUGCAUUAGCUAGUUGGGGAGGUAACGGCUCACCAAGGCCACGAUGCAUAGCUGACCUGAGAGGGUGAUCGGCCACACUGGGACUGAGACACGGCCCAGACUCCUACGGGAGGCAGCAGUGGGGAAUAUUGGGCAAUGGACGAAAGUCUGACGGAGCAAUGCCGCGUGAGUGAAGAAGGUUUUCGGGUCGUAAAGCUCUGUUGGUAGGGAAGCGGUAUCGAAAGAGAAAGCAACGGCUAACUACGUGCCAGCAGCCGCGGUAAUAC
rnacentral:rRNA from 1 species